CCUACGGGAGGCAGCAGUGAGGAAUAUUGGUCAAUGGCCGUAAGGCUGAACCAGCCAAGUAGCGUGAGGGAAGACUGCCCUAUGGGUUGUAAACCUCUUUUAUGCGGGGAUAAAGGUGUCCACGUGUGGAUGUUUGCAGGUACCGCAUGUAUAAGGACCGGCUAAUGCGGUGCCAGCAGCCGCGGUACUACGGAAGGUCCGGGCGUUAUCCUGAUUUGUUGGGUUUAAAGGGAGCGUAGGCCGGUCUUUAAGCGUGCCGUGAAAUUUUUUGGGUCAACCAUGAGAGUGCGGCGCUUACUGGAGACCUUGAGUGAGCGGAAGGCAGGCGGAAUUCGUGGUGUAGCGGUGAAAUGCUUAGAUAUCACGAAGAACACCGAUGGCGAAGGCAGCCUGCCGCAGCGUUACUGACGCUGAAGCUCGAAAGCGCGGGUAUCAAACAGGAUUAGAUACCCCAGUAGUC
rnacentral:rRNA from 1 species